UUUAGGACACACUGUCCUUAUGAUAUCCUCUCUCCCUCCACCUGUUCUACACUAAGCUCCAAAGCAGUCUCAGAGGAUAAAUCUUUCCUGAAGUGCAGCUUCUUUUAUAGACACAAGACAAGUCCUGGCUAGAUCAUGGUGAUGAUAAUAAUUUUCUGGAAUGUGGCUGAUUCCCUGGAUCUUCCUUCUUGACCCUCAGGAAGACAGGAGGCAACUGAGUUGAACCCCAGAUGCCAGAAAAAAUGGCACAAGAUGAACUUUUAUUAAGAUGAUCUACUUAUUAAGAAGUAAUGAGAUAAAGGAUUUAUUUUAAAAUACAAAUCUUUCAAACUAAUGAAAGCUUCAGUAUCUGUUUCACCAGGUCCUCAUUGCUUCAUUUUGGUGGAAGAUUCAUAUUCUGUUGAUUCCAGACAGGAGAGUGGGAUAGUGGAUUCUUCCUUUUGUGCUCCUUUGAACGCUUUUCAUUCAGUCCUUUUUUCCUUGCUAGUCCUGCAGGCAUAAAUGAAGAGAUAAAAUAAAGCCUCAGUAAUACAGAACA
rnacentral:lncRNA from 1 species